CGGCAAAAGCUCAAAUUUGAAAUCUGGCAUCUUCGAUGUCCGAGUUGUAAUUUGAAGAUUGAAGGUUCAUUGGGUCUUGUCUAUGUUCCUUGGAAUAGGACAUCACAGAGGGUGAGAAUCCCGUGCGAUGAGAUUCCGUAUUGUAACCUUCUUUCGACGAGUCGAGUUGUUUGGGAAUGCAGCUCUAAGUGGGUGGUAAAUUCCAUCUAAAGCUAAAUAUUGGCGAGAGACCGAUAGCGAACAAGUACAGUGAUGGAAAGAUGAAAAGAACUUUGAAAAGAGAGUGAAAAAGUACGUGAAAUUGUUGAAAGGGAAGGAUAUGAGAUCAGACUUGGUAUUUUGCAACCUUACCUUCGUGGUGGGGCCCCUGCAGUUUACUGGGCCAGCAUCAAUUUGGAUGAUGGGAUAAUGACUCAGGAAUGUAGCUUUACUUCGGUGAAGUGUUAUAGCCUGUGUUGAUACCGUCUAUCUAGAUUGAGGACUGCGUC
rnacentral:rRNA from 1 species